rnacentral:lncRNA from 1 species
UGAUGGCUGAUGUCACAAAGAUUUUGCUUUUACCCUAACUCUCACAUGGACAGAUUCACAGUCUCUGGACAGCAUUCACUCCCACCUUCCCCAAAGAUACGGAGUGCUCAGAAAGUGCUGCUUUUACAAAAAGGUUUAAGAACCUAAAUGGCACAAAUUCAAAGAAAGGAAUACAAGAUAAGCUGUUUUAGAUUUUAAACAAAUUUAAGAACAGGGCUGAAACGCUCCCAUGGUCUAGAUGUUACUGCUGAUGUUAAAGACUCUUAACCUUUUUGUAAAAGCAGCACUAGAAUUUUCACAGUUGAGUCUUCAACCCUUUAUUACCAUGCUUUACUUUCUUCAAGCUGGGCUUUGUUUAAAACUUGCCAUUUAGGUUUUCAAACCUUUUUUGUAAAUUCGGUAUUAGAAACUGUACUUUUGAGUCCUCAAUCCUUUAUUACUGCGCUUUGCUUUACCUAGGUUGAGCUAGGAUUAUAAUACUUCAGAAUUUUUGGGUGUUCCACCCCCUUUUUUUGAAUUUUGGUCAUUUAAAGUUUAUGAUUUUUCUAUUUCCUUCUGAAGAAACUGAAUAGUUCAGUGAAAUGAGGUUUGUAGCCGGCAUCUCGUUAAGGCUUUGUUCUAUUUUAGGUUUUUCUAAUUUUUCCCCUGAAGCUUUUUGAUUUUUAUUAUUUAGUUUAUUUCCACAAGAUAAUAAGCUCAGGAGCCAAGUGAGGAUUCCCUCUAUUGUGUGGGCAGGUAAUCCCUCCCCUACCUGGCCUGGUCUCCUUGGCAACGCUUCCCCCAGGUGGGAUUGGACAACUGACUGAGGUAGGUGGAGACCUCCAGGUAUCCCACCUGAGGGAAGGCAAAGCCAAGCCUAUGCUGAUGGAGCCGCUCCAGAUCCAGGGGCUGCGCGCGUCCACGCAAAGGGCGCCCCCCGUUUUAAGCGGGGAGCGGUCAUUUCCAGUCAAUUACUUCUCGUUUCAGGGAUUUUCAUGGUAUUUCACUUGGUUUGUGACGGUAAGAGGAGGCUAGUACGAAUGUCUCUAUACUAAAGACACUGGAGAAGCAUGGGUUCUGUUGUUUCUGUUUGUCCAGAGUCACAGGGGCAUUGCCUCUCCACAUAAGCAAUCUUCCUACAUCAGCCUUCAAGGACAGCUGGGACUUCAAGUUUAGCUAGAUAUGCCAUAGGGGAGGCAGAAUACCUGGAGGAAUCAUUGGCAAUAAAUGUUGGGGUCCUGGCUAGAUCCAACUGGCGCUCAAUGUCUGCAGUUUCCUGCCCAAAUUUCAUAUCCUCCCCUUUCUAUCUCCCCAGCACAAGGCUCUGCAAGAAAAGUCUCUCUCUUCAUCCUAACAACGAUCGCAACAAUAUUCUUAGCCUCUAUGAACAAGCCGUGCCAACAAAGGUCCAUAUAGUUAAAGCUCUGGUUUUCCCAGUAGUGAUGUAUGGAAGUGAGAGCUGGACCACAAAGAAGGCUGAUCGCCAAAGAAUUGAUGCUUUUGAAUUAUGGUGUUGGAGAAGACUCUUGAGAGUCCCGUGGACUGCAAGAAGAUCAAACACAUCCAUUCUGAAGGAAAUCAGCCCUGAGUGCUUACUGGAAGGACAGAUCCUGAAGUUGAGGCUCCAAUACUUUGGCCACCUCAUGAGAAGAGAAGACUCCCUGGAAAAGACCUUGAUGUUGGGAAAGAUGGAGGGCACAAGGAGAAGGGGACGACAGAGGACGAGAUGGUGGGACAGUGUUCUCGAAGCUACCAGCAUGAGUUUGACCAAACUGCGGGAGGCGGUGGAAGACAGGAGUGCCUGGCGUGCUCUGGUCCAGGGGAUCACAAAGAGUUGGACAUGACUAAACGACUAAACAACAAAAUGAACAAGCCAGCUCUUGGAUCUUUCCUGACAUGGUAAACAGAGCUCUAAGGGAAAGCGUUUACGCUACGGAAGGCCUGCAAACCAUUCUCAUUCCCAUACAGCUUCAUUCCUCUUCCGAGGGAAGUAUGAUUCAUCGUCGAGACUAAGAGGAGCCACACAAGCGGACGAUGUAUAAGGUCACCUACGGUAACAGAUGAUGCUGGAUGUUUGGGGAGCAAUAGAAAUCCGUCUUCUUGUGUAAACCCUUCCUCUAAGUGGUCAUAUAUCUUUUGUUAUAUCGCCGAGGAUAUGUUGGUGCUGCAGCCGAAGGAUGCUGCUGGGAAUAAUGGUGACUUUGGAAGAUGGAAAGUUUCGAAGGCCUCUCAGAUGCUGCAGCUGAGAUUAGGAAAAUGGUCUGCGUUUCUCCCAAUGACAUCAUUCUGGAAAUGCAAUCAGCAUGCAGUCAAGGUAGCCAGACACAGAGGCCCAGAGAUUUCAUUUUCAUUAUUGGAUUUUGUAAAAUGGCAGAGAAAUCCCACACCCAAUUAGCCUGCUGAGGACUAUAUGAAGAUUCUGUGGUGUUUGCAUCUGCUUAUUAUGCUGUUGUGGACGCAACCAUGGGAGGUAUGUGGAAUUUGGCAAUCAACACAAAGAGUGCACAUGAUAUAAAUAGG